GACGAACGCUGGCGGCGUGCUUAACACAUGCAAGUCGAACGGAAAGGCCCUGGUUUUGUGGGGUGCUCGAGUUGCGAACGGGUGAGUAACACGUGAGUAACCUGCCCCUGACGUUGGGAUAACUUCAGGAAACUGGGGCUAAUACCGGAUAGGAGCUCCUGCUGCAUGGUGGGGGUUGGAAAGUUUCGGUGGUUGGGGAUGGACUCGCGGCUUAUCAGCUUGUUGGAGGGGUAGUGGCUUACCAAGGCUUUGACGGGUAGCCGGCCUGAGAGGGUGACCGGCCACAUUGGGACUGAGAUGCGGCCCAGACUCCUACGGGACGCAGCAGUGGAGAAUAUUACACUAUGGACGGAAGCCUGAUGCAGCAACGCCGCGUGCGGGAUGACAGGCAUCGGGUUGUAAACCGCUUUCGCCUGUGACGAAGCGUGAGUGACGGUAAUAGGUAAAGAAGCACCGGCUAACUACGUG
rnacentral:rRNA from 1 species